UACGUAGGGGGCAAGCGUUGUCCGAAUUUAUUGGGCGUAAAGAGCGUGUAGGCGGCCAGGUAGGUCCGUUGUGAAAACUCGAGGCUCAACCUCGAGACGCCGAUGGAAACCAUCUGGCUAGAGUCCGGAAGAGGAGAGUGGAAUUCCCGGUGUAGCGGUGAAAUGCGCAGAUAUCGGGAAGAACACCCGUGGCUAAGGCGGCUCUCUAGUACGGUACUGACGCUGAGACGCGAAAGCGUGGGGAGCGAACAGG
rnacentral:rRNA from 1 species